rnacentral:lncRNA from 1 species
CCACCCUUCUUACAAAUUUUUCCUCUCAAUUUUUCUUUCUCUUUUUCUCAAAUUUUUUUUAGAAUUUUUUUCUCUAUUACAUGCCAAUUGGCUCUGAUUUUUAUCCAAAAAUUCAGUCCUUAGCCCAUAUGGGAUGCCUCAUAUAUAUAGGCUAAGAAGGGACGUGAGAAAGGACCAAGGGGUGCCAACUCUUGGCGCUCCAAAUUCUCAUGAAAAAAAAUAAAUCUUUAUGAUUUAUUUUGGUGUAGAAGAGCCCUCACAUAGAACGACUCUUCCUCUU